CUGCGCCAUCGUGCUAAUAUACUUUUUGGCUAGUCUCCAGCAUGUGCAUUUGCAAGCCGCCUCCCCAAAUUUCUGUUGAGCACACUAGGCAAAAACGAAAAAGAAAAAAAGGGAAAAUCCUAUUUCUGAUAAUCGUGCCCCAUGUCGCAGAUCGUUUUUCAGAAGGAAGUUAAAGCCCUACGUUUGCUCCUGUGCCGUCUCCCUCCGGAGCAGCCCGCGGAGCCGUUGCGCUGCAGCCUGUGCUGCAGAGCCCGCGCACCGGGACAUGUCCCCUGCGGACUCGAGGCCCGGCGCGGCGCCGGGAAAGGUGCCCUCGCGCAACGCCGCUGCUGCCCUGCGCUGCCGUCUGGCCCAGGCGCUGCUGGCAGCGUUUUGCGUGAUUUGGCCUGGAUGGAAAAGGCUGUGCAGGGCGCAAGGCAGCGGAGAGCUGGGCUCUGUGAAAGGCUGGAGCAGAGGUGCUCUGCCGAAGAAGAGAAAAGCUUUUCCAAGAGCAGAGUUUUCGGCGGCGAGAGUUGCUGGUGUAGAGAAAGCAGCCUGGGUUUGGUGCUGAGCGUGCGUCCUGCCGGUGAGGCAGCAGAUGCUGGGGCAGGAAUGAUGCGCCUGGAUGAGGAAACUUUCCUUAGGGCAGUGCAUUCUUUGAAAUAUAAAACAGUGCUUUUCAAGCCUGACCGAGGACAAAAGACAAUAAAAAUGUACAACCAGCAAGCCUGCGACUGCCAAAUAGGGCUCCAGGGGCUGGGCUGCCAGAGAUACUUAUUCACUCUACCCAAAAAAUAAAGUCGGAGUGGUGCGUGUCUAACCCUAGGGAGCCCAUUAGGAAUGUUCUCCUCCUGGCAAACCCAGCUGGGCAUAAAACGAGCCCUUUUGUCUGAAGGAGUCACUGGAGGGGCUGCAUAACGGGAGAAUCGCUAUAGCUGUGCCGCUGAGAAAGCCCAGACAGAGACCUUGUGACAACAGGAAAUAUGUUUUAGAAGCUCAGCAAUGAAUGCAGCUGAUUGCAAAUAACAGACUAUUUCAGCAAGAACUAGGGGCAGUUCAGCCAAAGCCCUAAGCCUGGAGUGGUGCCCUGGGAUGUUGCUAGUUUUAUCCUAACUUAAGUGUGAUAAUAAGAUCACAGCACUAUGCAAAUUCAUAACCUUUAGUAUGUUUGUAAACAAGUCACUCUUUACCUUCAAACAGACUUGCUCUUAUUACUCAAAAUAGUGCUACUCCGUCCUGCUGAACAAUCAUCCCUAUUUAGUUAAUAGCGUCGUACCGCAUCCAUAUUUUUGUUCCGUGUUUAAAAUUAAGCAAUCAACAUUUCUCAUAAGUCCUAAUGACUAAUUAUUUGAUAGCAUGUUCUAUGAAAGAUUGCUGCACAUAUGAUGUACACUUUCUUUUAGCUUCCGCUGUUUAUAAAUAUUUAUCGCUGAACAUUGUAAAUACAAAAGCGGCUGGUACUUCCAGCAGUGAAAAUACCGAUUGUUGUUUGCAUAUAUGCAAAAUGAAUGUCUCUGCAGGCAUUUUUUUAAAGGAGGAGAAAACCUCCAGAAUAGACAAUAUGAAGUAUUUCUCUCCCAAGGGAAAAUUCUCCUUCUUGCAAAAGCCCCUCUUCCAGCCCCGUCUCCCAUGGGUGCCGUGCUGCCCGGCCCUGCUGGAAUUGCAGCUGCUGCUGAGGCGGUUCAGCUCCGAGGGAGAGUGUGCGUAGGGGGAAAUUCAGGCUGGGACCUCCUGUGGUCUACAGGGAUAGUUUUCAAUGCAUUUGCAAGCCAAAGAUCAGUUUACUUUUUUGAAAAGA
rnacentral:lncRNA from 1 species